UACGUAGGGUGCAAGCGUUAAUCGGAAUUACUGGGCGUAAAGCGUGCGCAGGCGGUUAUGCAAGACAGAUGUGAAAUCCCCGGGCUCAACCUGGGAACUGCAUUUGUGACUGCAUGGCUAGAGUACGGUAGAGGGGGAUGGAAUUCCGCGUGUAGCAGUGAAAUGCGUAGAUAUGCGGAGGAACACCGAUGGCGAAGGCAAUCCCCUGGACCUGUACUGACGCUCAUGCGCGAAAGCGUGGGGAGCAAACAGG
rnacentral:rRNA from 1 species